rnacentral:rRNA from 1 species
GACGAACCGUGCGAACGUUGUUCGGAAUCACUGGGCUUAAAGGGCGCGUAGGCGGGCUCGCAAGUCAGGGGUGAAAUCCCACGGCUCAACCGUGGAAGUGCCUUUGAUACUGCGGGCCUUGAGGGAGGUAGGGGCGUGCGGAACUUCCGGUGGAGCGGUGAAAUGCGUAGAUAUCGGAAGGAACACCGGUGGCGAAAGCGGCGCGCUGGACCUCUUCUGACGCUGAGGCGCGAAAGCCAGGGGAGCAAACGGG